ACACGUGAGCAACCUGCCCCUGACUCUGGGAUAAGCGCUGGAAACGGCGUCUAAUACUGGAUAUGUGACGUGACCGCAUGGUCUGCGUCUGGAAAGAAUUUCGGUUGGGGAUGGGCUCGCGGCCUAUCAGCUUGUUGGUGAGGUAAUGGCUCACCAAGGCGUCGACGGGUAGCCGGCCUGAGAGGGUGACCGGCCACACUGGGACUGAGACACGGCCCAGACUCCUACGGGAGGCAGCAGUGGGGAAUAUUGCACAAUGGGCGCAAGCCUGAUGCAGCAACGCCGCGUGAGGGACGACGGCCUUCGGGUUGUAAACCUCUUUUAGCAGGGAAGAAGCGAAAGUGACGGUACCUGCAGAAAAAGCGCCGGCUAACUACGUGCCAGCAGCCGCGGUAAUACGUAGGGCGCAAGCGUUAUCCGGAAUUAUUGGGCGUAAAGAGCUCGUAGGCGGUUUGUCGCGUCUGCUGUGAAAUCCGGAGGCUCAACCUCCGGCCUGCAGUGGGUACGGGCAGACUAGAGUGCGGUAGGGGAGAUUGGAAUUCCUGGUGUAGCGGUGGAAUGCGCAGAUAUCAGGAGGAACACCGAUGGCGAAGGCAGAUCUCUGGGCCGUAACUGACGCUGAGGAGCGAAAGGGUGGGGAGCAAACAGGCUUAGAUACCCUGGUAGUCCACCCCGUAAACGUUGGGAACUAGUUGUGGGGUCCAUUCCACGGAUUCCGUGACGCAGCUAACGCAUUAAGUUCCCCGCCUGGGGAGUACGGCCGCAAGGCUAAAACUCAAAGGAAUUGACGGGGACCCGCACAAGCGGCGGAGCAUGCGGAUUAAUUCGAUGCAACGCGAAGAACCUUACCAAGGCUUGACAUAUACGAGAACGGGCCAGAAAUGGUCAACUCUUUGGACACUCGUAAACAGGUGGUGCAUGGUUGUCGUCAGCUCGUGUCGUGAGAUGUUGGGUUAAGUCCCGCAACGAGCGCAACCCUCGUUCUAUGUUGCCAGCACGUAAUGGUGGGAACUCAUGGGAUACUGCCGGGGUCAACUCGGAGGAAGGUGGGGAUGACGUCAAAUCAUCAUGCCCCUUAUGUCUUGGGCUUCACGCAUGCUACAAUGGCCGGUACAAAGGGCUGCAAUACCGCGAGGUGGAGCGAAUCCCAAAAAGCCGGUCCCAGUUCGGAU
rnacentral:rRNA from 1 species